GUUUGCUUCAGCAGGACAUAUACUAAAAUAGGAGCUAUACAAAGAAGAUUAGCAUGGACCCUGUGCAAGAAUGACACACAAAUUUGUGAAACAUUCCAUAUAUUA
ensembl:snRNA U6 U6 spliceosomal RNA